rnacentral:rRNA from 1 species
UACGUAGGGUGCAAGCGUUGUCCGGAAUUACUGGGCGUAAAGCGUGCGCAGGCGGUUCGUUAAGUCAGAUGUGAAAGCCCCGGGCUCAACCUGGGAACUGCAUUUGAUACUGGGGAUCUCGAGUCCGGAAGAGGUUGGUGGAACUGCGAGUGUAGAGGUGAAAUUCGUAGAUAUUCGCAAGAACACCAGUGGCGAAGGCGGCCAACUGGUCCGGUACUGACGCUGGAGGUGCGAAAGCGUGGGGAGCAAACAGG